rnacentral:lncRNA from 1 species
CAAAAAAAAAAACCCUUGCUUUUCACAAUCUCAUUUUCCCUCUACAAUAUAUAAUUUCAUCAAACUCUCCUUCACAAAUGGAACUUAGAUAGCUCAUUAACUGCAGUGUUUUGUUCUCUUAUGAAAAUAUGUCAGAAAGAUUUGAGAGUCUGGGACUGUGAUAAAAGCUCCCAUCAGCCCGAGCAUAUGAGAAAGGGGGUUAGGACUAUUUUCUUACAGCCCUCUUCAGACAGCAGCCAGAGAGGUUUCAGUGUUUUUUGUUGUUUUUUUUUUUUCAGUUUUGGUGACUCAUUUCCUCACUUGAGACACAGAAAUAUGAAUGCAGUGUCAACCAACUAUAAAGGAGUGUCAUGAGAGUUCUGGCCAUGGAGUAAUCAUAAUUCUACUUGCUGGCACUCACAUCAAAGGGAGAGAAACAGCAAGCCACACCCAAAAGAGGAAAAGAACCAGAACGAAAAUUCCACAAAAAAGAAGCUCAGAGCGAAGAAUGAGAUUAUUUUUCCUGCCCAUAAUAAUGGAGUUUGAAUGGGGCUUUCCCAGCACAGAGAAUAAUAGCCCUUUCUUUUUCACAUGUGGUUGUCCCCAGCUCUAAUUCAUUUCACUAGUGUUCUAAUAAGGCAUUCAAGGGAAAUCCCUGGCAGCUCUGCUCAAGGUCAAGGAAUAUACCAUGGACACUAGAUACAAAUUCACCCAAUGAAAGGGACUUUCCUCUCUAUUUGUUUUAUGAAUUAUCGAGAAUCACUCAAUGCAAAGCAUUUUGUUCAUUAAUUGUAGUCUGAGGAUCCUCGGCCCUCCAGGUCAUUGUCCUAUCCACAAGCCAUUCCUGGCAUCAGCCCUUUCUGGGCAGCUACUGUCCUUAACCUCCCCUCAUUCUAGAAUGCUCCUCAGUGAUUGCUUGAUCAAGAGAAUGUGGUUUUGAGAGCUCGGAUGCUAGGUCAUAAGAAUUCCUGUAGCUGCCAUCUGGAGCUCUGGGAACACUCAUGGAGCCUUGAGCUGCCAGGUGGAAGUCCAACUACCCUGAGAUCACCCUGCUCAAGAGACACAUGAAGAAUCCCCGAAAUUGCAUGAAGAAUGAGAUGCCUGGGCCCCUCCCAGAGCAUCUCCCAGAAGGUGGAGUGUCAAAAGAUCUAAAGCCACCUUUAAUCUGCUAAAACACAUCAUUUCAAAAAUAUCAAGAUGAUGCUGAUGUAUAAUACAAAGGAAAAUAAAAGCUAUGUAAUUUAUAAUAAUAGAUAUUUCAAUAUUUUGAUGCUUCAGGCAAAACACAAAGAAGAAUGGCCAGGCAUGGUAGCUCAUGCCUGUAAUCCUAGCAAUUUGGAAGGCCGAAGCAGGUGGCCACCUGAGGUCAGGGGUUCAGGACCAGCCUGGCCAACAUGGUGAAACCUCAUCUCUACUAAAAAUAUAAAAAUUAGCAGGGUGUGGUGGCACACACUGGUAAUCUAAGCUACUCAGGAGGCUGAGGCAGGAGAAUUGCUUCAACCUAGGAGGCAGAGUUUGCAGUGAGCCAAGAUGGCAUCACUGUACUCCAGCCUGGGUGACGAGUGAGACCCUGUCUCAAAAAAAAAAAAAAAAAAAAGGCUGGGUGCAAUGGCUCAUGCCUGUAAUCUCAUCACUUUGGGAGGCUGAGGUAGGUGGGUCACUUGAAGUCAGGAGUUCGAGACUAGCCUGGCCAACAUGGUGAAACCUCAUCUUUACUAAAAAUACAAAAAAUAGCUGGACAUAGUGGCAGGUGCCUGUAAUCCCAGCUACUUGGAAGGCUGAGGCAGGAGAAUCACUUGAACCUGGGAGGCGGAAGUUGCAGUGAGCCAAGAUCACACCAUUGCAUUCCAGCCUGGGCAACGGAUGGAGACUUCAUCUCAAGAAAAGAAUGAGAGUGUAUUCACAAUUUCUAGAAAGUAUAAAACUGCAAAUGCAGGCUCAAAUGGAUGUGUUUUGCUAGCAACCCAAAUACCAUGGAUGAUACUGCCUUUGGUGACUUUAGAAGAUGAAGACCACAUUUUUGUAUAGGUCAUAACAAAAUAAAAUAGAAUAUCUCCUGAUUUUGCAUGUUAGGUACAUUCCUGAGAAUUUUAGUCCAUAUUAAAACAGUGUAAACAAAUACCUUGUGUUUAGGAUAUCUGGACCUGGGUAGGAUGGAGAAAGCAUAUCCUAUCCUGUCUUACACUGAAUGUGGCUAUAAAAUCGACGUGGAGUAGCUAUUUGAGGACUCUAGAAAGUAAAUAGUAGUAGAUGGAUGGGCUAAAAAGGCCAGAAUUUAGGAAUCCCACUUUCAGUUGCUAUAGCCAGAAGUGGGGAGAUUUUUCUUGGAGCUCAAACUAGAGGAGAGUUUCCUGGUUUUGCCUUCCCAGUAUUGUCCUUUCCAGCACUCCCCGUAACUGGUCCCAGGGCGGUACUAAACCCAGAAGUGGGCCCCAUUCAUGGAGAGAAAGAGCUCCAGGGAAAGUGCUCUAGUUCUGGCUACAAGAACUAAGAAAGAGAUUCCUGAUGUUAGAUAUAGUGAACUCCAAGUUUCUCCUCAAACAAUCAGUAUGUCAGUAUGUUCCGCUCUCUUAGUCUUUAAUUCUCCAUUUUAAAGUUUAACUUCCUUGUAGUUUCAGUGAACAACCUUUUCCACCAGUUCUAAUCAGUGGUUCACAUCUGUUCUCCCAGUCCCCUGCUCCAUCCUGACUCAUCCCAGUCACCUUCUCCAGUCACUUGCUCUGGUCACCUGCUUUGACCUGAGUCACCCCUAGUCACUUGCUCUGACCUGUCCCAUAACCAUCCUUCCUGCCAAACUACUCACCCCGCCACUCCAGCUCAUACCCCUGCUAUCUUUAAGAUAGCCAAUUGAAAUUAGCCUAGCCUGUGUGGUCUAACCCCAGUCAAUAGGGGAAUGACACAGCAGUAGAGGCUACCUGUGUCAGGAAUAAGAACCCCUUCUCCUCCCUUGUCCAGGUGUGCGCUCGCCAUUGUCCCAUCUGUGAGCCACACCCUUCUAUAGAAGUAAAUUGCCUUGCUGAGGACAUUUAUAUUG